rnacentral:rRNA from 1 species
UACGUAGGCAGCAAGCGUUGUUCGGAAUUACUGGGCGUAAAGAGUGUGUAGGCGGCGCUGUAAGUCUGUUGUGAAAUCUCCCGGCUUAACCGGGAGGGUGCGGCGGAAACUGGAGUGCUUGAGGGUGGGAGAGGUAAGCGGAAUUCCUGGUGUAGCGGUGAAAUGCGUAGAUAUCAGGAGGAACACCUGUGGUGUAGACAGCUUACUGGACCGCUUCUGACGCUGAGACACGAAAGCGUGGGUAGCAAACAGG